UGAUGUUCAGGGCAGGUGGUGCAUUGCUAAACCAUCGGCAUAUAAUUUUGAGCUUUUGCGCAACAUAGAAUAUAGCUGUGGGCAAAAUGGAGUGGACUGUGGGCAAAUUCAACCAGGUGGUAGCUGCUUUCGUCCAGACACUGCCUUCGGACAUGCCUCCUACGCUAUGAAUCUCUUCUUCAAGGCUGCAGGAAAGCACCCAUGGGAUUGCCAUUUCAAUGGUACUGGCAUUGUUGUUACUCAGGACCCAUCCUUCGGUGCAUGCACCUAUCCCCUGUAAUGCCAAGAGAGCUCGAGACAAGAAGGGUCUUCAUAUUUAUUAGUAGUUUGAAUAGUUUCUCAUUAAAGGAUCCAAAAUUAUGAUUUCCCAUCUUGUAAUGGGUAAAAGAGAGACGAUCUCGUUUUGUGAAACGACGAUGAAUGGUGUCCAUGCAUUCCUUUAACUUCGACUA